rnacentral:rRNA from 1 species
GAUGAACGCUAGCGGCAGGCCUAAUACAUGCAAGUCGAGGGGUAUGGGAGAGCUUGCUUUCCCUGAGACCGGCGCACGGGUGCGUAACGCGUAUGCAACCUACCCUUUUCUGGGGGAUAGCCCGGAGAAAUCCGGAUUAAUACCGCAUAAGACCACGAUACGGCAUCGUGAUGUGGCAAAACAUGUACGGGAGAAGGAUGGGCAUGCGUGCAAUUAACCAGUUGGCGGGGUAACGGCCCACCAAGGCGACGCUGGCUAGGGGAUCUGAGAGGGUGGCCCCCCACACUGGUACUGAGACACGGACCAGACUCCUACGGGAGGCAGCAGUAAGGAAUAUUGGUCAAUGGGGGCAACCCUGAACCAGCCAUGCCGCGUGCAGGAAGACAGCCCUCCGGGUUGUAAACUGCUUUUGUACGGGAAUAAACCUGUAUACGUGUAGACAGCUGAAUGUACCGUAAGAAUAAGGAUCGGCUAACUCCGUGCCAGCCGCCGCGGUAAGAC